rnacentral:snRNA from 1 species
GACAUUUAGGAAAUUUAGG